rnacentral:lncRNA from 1 species
UUUUGAACUAUUUGCCUUGAGGAAAGGCUAAAAAGUUAUUGAGUCGUGAGUGCAGUUUGCCACGUCACGAUGUAUUUCCCACUGUUUUCUUAGGCUAUUUUCUUUGCCUCCUUUAAGAUAUUUUCUGGAAACUUUUGCUGAACGGUAGCCAAUUGUGAGCGAAAGCUUCUGUAACCAUUCUCUUGCUGAAAGUAACUCGGAGAUCUCAUUUUGCCACAUGGAAGACAGCAGACUCUCUACUUCUCUUCCCUUAGGUCACAAUGGCCUAUAGGAUAUUGCUUUUAGAAGCAAUGCUAUAAGGAACCCUUUUUCUUGCACCAGUAGGAGGUGGAGUCUUGCUCUGUCGCCCAGGCUGGAGUGCAGUGGAGCGUGAUCUUGGCUCACUGCAAGCUCCGCCUCCUGGUUCACGCCAUUCUCCUGCCUCAGCCUGCGGAGUAGCUGGAACUACAGGAAGAAAAAUGGAACUAAAAAGGGAAAACAAUAGCAACAAAGAUCAAAAUAAAUAACAAGGAAGCGGAGAGAAGAAAGAACAUGGUGAAGAGAGUGAAACGCAUUGUCAUUUGGGGUGAAUUGCAGAAAGAAAUAAAUUAUUGUUCUUAUAUAUAAGUGAGAUCAUGC